CAGCAGUCUCUUUCCAGAUAAAUGCUAUGUAGGAGGUAGUGCACUCUUCUAUUCUGUGUCCCAGCACUGUCAGUAUGUUUUAGGGAAUAUAAUGCAGUAUUUUUUUUGUUCAUUUGAAAUAGUGCUCAACAGCCUGUCCAGACGAGCGCAGGCAUUGUCUUUGUUUAUUGUUAAGAUGCUAGAUCUUGAUUUAAGAAAUCUGCCUAUUCAUGAUUUCAUUUGUUUUUAUUUUUACAUAUGCUGCAAAUACACUAUUUUUCAAAGAUUAAAGAAGUCAUAUGCAUUAUUCUUGAUGAAACUUCCAUUUUUAAUGAAACACUAAUGUGUAAAGUUAAGAUUCUUAUAUAAAUAUCCGUUAAAUAUUUAACAGUUGUACAGAUUUUUACAUGAUAUUUUUUUCUACUCAUGGUGUAUUACAGGCUUUCAUGGAGAUGAAUAUUUGUCAUGUUUAAUUUGGAGUGUUUAGUCUUGCAUCUUGCAUGUAUCAUGGUUGUGGAUCUGUAAGGGAUUGGUAGCAUGCUGUGAAUGAAAGAACAACUUAACAUUGACAACUCAGCAUUAAAGAUCGAUAUGUAUCCUGAAUGCAGCGAUGCUACCUACUGGGGGUUUCUAGAUCCUGCAUUCAAGGAAGUUCUGAGCUUUUGGUCAGCCAAAAUAAAAUUAAUGGAAACUAA